GAUGAACGUUGGCGGCGUGCCUAUCACAUGCAAGUCGAACGGAGAUUACGGACGGAAGUUUUCGGAUGGAAGACUGUAAUUCUUAGUGGCGGACGGGUGAGUAACGCGUGGGCAACCUGCCCUAUACAGGGGGAUAGCAGCUGGAAACGGCUGGUAAGACCGCAUAAGUCGGCGAGACCGCAUGGUUUUGCCGGGAAAUGAGCAAUCAGGUAUAGGAUGGGCCCGCGUCCGAUUAGCCAGUUGGCAGGGUAAAAGCCUACCAAAGCAACGAUCGGUAGCCGGACUGAGAGGUCGGACGGCCACAUUGGGACUGAGACACGGCCCAAACUCCUACGGGAGGCAGCAGUGGGGGAUAUUGCACAAUGGAGGAAACUCUGAUGCAGCGACGCCGCGUGAGUGAAGAAGUAUUUCGGUAUGUAAAGCUCUAUCAGCAGGGAAGAUGAUGACGGUACCUGACUAAGAAGCCCCGGCUAACUACGUG
rnacentral:rRNA from 1 species